UCUCCCGACAAGCCGCCGCCGCCCGCCGGCCCUCCGCCUGCUUCUCCUCGAUGAGGCCCAGGCCCAACCCGAAGGCCAGAAAGACGGCCCGGCCGCAAGGGCCCGCGCCACCCCGGGCCCGCACCGCGAACUGCCGCUGGAGUCGCGCCGCCAGCCCGGCCACCGACUGGCGGAAGAAGCGCCAGCUGCUGUGUUGUAAGCUGCCCUGUGGAGAAGCCCAUGAAGCAAGGAGUAGUAACAGCAACAGCGCACUGGAACUGGAUCCUGCCAACACCAUAGACAGAGAGAGAGAGAGAGAGGCAGAGGGAGAAGCAGGCAUCAUACAGAGAGCCUGACGUGGGACUUGAUCCAGCGUCUCCAGGAUCACGCCCUGGGCUGCAGACGGCGCUAAACCACUGAGCCACGGGGGCUGCCCCCCAGAUGACAUCUUAACUGCAGGCUUAUAGGAGACCUUAAGCCAGAUAAUCCAGCUCUGCCCAGAGUCCUGGCCUGCAGAAACUGUGAAAUAAUAAAUCUUUGUUUUCCUA